rnacentral:lncRNA from 1 species
AUAAUAAAAAAUUUCUGGAUCUGUCUCUGAUGGAUCCCAAACUCGGUGGGAUGAUUCUUCUCCAUGUGCCUUAAUAGUGUGCCAUAACCUCCACCCAACGUCCAUCAGUAACUAUUUGAACAAUAGUCAUAAUACGCCAUGAAUUUUUUCGAAGCAUUGGGACCUUCAUUUGGAUCUCUUAGUCAACUCACUUUCCUGAAAUGUUUAACAAAAAUGUUAGAAGUAAGUGAUUUUUUACCCUUACCCUUAUCGAUAGCGUUGAUUUCCUCAUCCACAUCAUGUCGUGCUUUAGGGAUGGCAAUGGACCAGAUCUGGACCGAAUUCUGCUUGGUUCAGAUCCAGAUCCAUGAUUUUUUAUUUAGAUCUAGAUCCGGUCCAGAUCCAUUGGAUCCAAAAAAAAAGGGAUCCAAGUCCAGAUCCAUAAGAUCCACAGGGUCUCGGGUCCAUACCCGGAUCCAUAUUAUUUUCUUUUCUAAAAUAAAUUCUAAGCUAAUUAAACAUUAAAAUAAAAAACAUAAUAAUUGUCUAAAGUUUCAACAAUCAUUCAAGAACAAAAAAAUACACCAAAGCCCAAUAAAGCCUUCAGCCACGUCAUUAGCCUCAUCAUUUGGUGUUUGAGAGUAAACUGCUUCACUAUUUGAAUUAAUGAAUUAUUUUUCCAUUUUCUACAAAGACAAAGAUGAACGCAAAUAUUACAAACAUAAAUUAAUUAUAAAGUAAUUGUCAACUGCUGAGUAAAGAUGAUAUAAUCAAUUUAAUAACAUGAAACUUUUCUAUUUUUUACUUUUUCUAAAGGCUGAAAUUCGCGUUGUAUUUUGUUUAAAUCACAGAGGGAUAAAAAUAUGCCUGUUAAAGUUUGGAAUAAGGUGAAUGUAAUCUAUGGCAAUACCAAUAGCAAAUUCACGUUUGUACAUACAUUGGCUAGCAAAUUCAUUAAUUAAUUAAUACUCCGUCCGUCCCCAAAAUAAGUUCCUCUUUGGGGACGGCACGGGUUUUAAGAAAAAUAGUAAAUUGUAUUGAUAGUGGAGAAAAAUAUGUUAUAAUUAGUAUUGGGAGUUGUGAAAAUGUGAAAAUGUGUUAUAAUUAGUAUUGGGAGUGGUGAAAAAGUGAAAAGUAAGAUUAAAAAAAGUGUUAUAAUUAGUAUUGGGAGUAUUAAUGGUGGGGUAGUUGUCCAAAAAUGGAAAGAAAGAAAGAUGAACUUAUUUGGGGGACGUCCCAAAAAGGAAAAAGAUGAACUUAUUUAAGGGACGGAGGGAGUAGUAUUCUGAAAUGGAUUUUCACUAACUACAUCAUAUAUCCUUGUUACCUUGGUAUUAAUUCAAAGAAUUCUCAUAUCUUACGUACACAAUAGGAAUAAAGGGAGAAAACUCACACAUAUUCAGCAAUCCAAACAUUAUAUUUCAAGUCUUGACUAAAGCAUUAUAAUUUCAUUUUUCUGUAAAAAAAUUAGAUGAAGAAAACUUCAAUAACAAUGUAAGAGGGUUUACCUGAGAUGAGAAAGAGCAGAGGUCGGAUUUGGCGCAGCUGUGGUGGAUUGGAGAUAAUCGGCGGUGGCCGGAAGAGCAGCGACAGAUUGCGGGUGGGGGCAAGCUUACCAGAGGUGUACUGGAGAGGAACGGCGUGGUGGACUGGAGGGGGAGGGAGCGGCCGCGGCGUGGUGGACUAGGAGGAGAGGAGGAGACUCAGGCAGAAAUUCAAUGAUUAGGAAUUGGAGGAGGGGUGCCACGACUUUAGGAAUUAGGAUACAGUACACUGAAUGACCUUAGAGUUAGGGUUUGAUAAAAAUAAAGAUUAAAAAUAAUUAUACAUUUAAUUAUUUAUAUAUUUUCGGGUCCACGGGUCGGAUUUGGACCGGAUCUGGAUCUGAAAUAUAUUACUCCAGAUCCGGAUCCGAAAAUUUAUAAAGUGAUCCAGAUCCGGUCUAGAUUCGCCGGGUCCAAUUUUAAUAAGGUCCAAAUCCGUAAAAAAAGGUCUGGAUCCACGGAUCUGGACCGGGUCCCAGAUCCAUUGCCAUCCCUAUCGUGCUUGAUCGGUCUCCUCCUCAUCCUCCUCCCUUUGCAAACUAUGUGCAUAGGCUUCAUCAUCCUUUUCUUGAAGUCGUCGAGCAUAUUGUUCACCUAUAAAUCGGCAUCCUCACGACGUGUUGAUGGAGCCCUUCUCCUUGAUGAUGAUGACGAAUGAGGAGGAUAAGUUGGACAAGUGCUAACAACAACAUGUUUCUCAAAGUCGUGGUUGAUAGACUUGUCACGGUUACCACAAGAUGAAGAUAUGAUGAUGAUAACUACAUAACAAAUUAAUAAGUAGAGUGUAGAGAUAAUAGAGUAGUGCGAUUUAAAUAAAUAAUAAUAAUAGAUAAUUAGAUAUUAGAUAAUCGAUAGUAAUACUAAUAGUAUAGUAGUAUACAAGCAAUAGAGUAAAAAGAGCAAUAGAGUAGAAUAAGAGCAAUUUAACAAGAGCAAUAACACAUAAAAAUGGAGGAGAAGUAGAAGUAGAAGUAGUAGAAUAAGAGAGCAUAGAAUUGUUAACACAAUGGGAUGGUUUUGAAGGUGAAAGAAUGAGGGUAGUUAUAGAUAAAAUGGGAGGGGGGAAUCUGAAUUUGAAAUUUGAUAUUUGAAUUAAAAAUAAAUUUGAAAAAUGUCGUCGAAACCCGCGCAUGCCUUCAGCCGCCUACCAUUUACGCCUGCCCUCUGCCACCUCGUCUAUCGCGUUAAACCGGAAGUCCAGUCCAACGCUUAACCGUCGGUUUUCUGUUAAAAAAAAUUGGGCCUAUAACCAGACCGAGGCCAAUGGCGAUUUUUAUUUCAGCCCGUGAUCGAUUGUCCGGGCCCGUACCAUUGACCUCGGGCCGAUUCAGGGUCGAAAUGGGCAUCACUAACCGCAGACCUCCCUCUUUUUCCACCCCAUGUCGGCACUUCUGCAGCCUCUCCGGCCCUCAUCUUUCUCCAGCUUCUCUGACCUCUCUCCAUUGACCGACGGGCGACAAGGGAAGGGCAAUUUCCUCUGCUGCCUUCCCCCUUCCGCCGCCCUUCCAUACUAGCAGAUCUCCUCAUUCCCUGCCUUGACAACAACUCCACAAACAGUCCCUACUCCUCUUUCGGCACUUCUCCAGCCUCUCUCCCUCGACCGACGUGCCAACAACCCCCAAAUUAUAAUUCCGAAUAAAUUACAAAUUCAAAUUGAUUUUCCAGUCCUCAGAUUCAUCACUUCAAGAACACCCAUAUCCAAUUUCCCCCUAAAUAAAAAACUCAUUUAUCUUCUUCACCAUGCUCAAUAAUUUGUAGAGAAAGUUCGUUUCUCUUCAGGAGCAGAGAUCGAGCGGGGAAUAGGGCUUGACUUUGGAUAAAAGCGGUAGAGAACGAGAAGCCAUACCUCGCGUUUAGGUUCCGCAACGUAGUGGGGGAAGGGGAAGUGGCGGCGACGAGGGUGGACAAAGGGAAGGGUCCGCGGGGCUGGAGAAAUGAUGGUGGCGAGGGUGUGGGAAGGGCCGAAGGGGGAAGGAGGGAGAGUGACAUGUUAGG